CAGCAGCCGCGGUAAUACAGAGGGUGCAAGCGUUGUUCGGAAUUAUUGGGCGUAAAGCGCGUGUAGGCGGCGUGACAAGUCGGGUGUGAAAGCCCUCAGCUCAACUGAGGAAGUGCGCCCGAAACUGUCGUGCUUGAGUGCCGGAGAGGGUGGCGGAAUUCCCCAAGUAGAGGUGAAAUUCGUAGAUAUGGGGAGGAACACCGGUGGCGAAGGCGGCCACCUGGACGGUAACUGACGCUGAGACGCGAAAGCGUGGGGAGCAAACAGGAUUAGAUACCCCAGUAGUCCCUGUCUCUUAUAC
rnacentral:rRNA from 1 species